UGGAAGUAGGACACAGGAAAACCCCGUUGUCGAGAACAUUGCUGGUCCGAUAAUCAGCAGGUGCACUGUAACAGGACGCCCAGGAGAUUCGUGCGCAUGAUCAGGUCUGAGAAGCAGUGUUCGGAUUCAGGGGUCCUCAAAGUUGAAUGUUCAGCAGAAUCAGAAGAACGAAGGGUGACCUGUUGGACUGCAGAUCGCAGGGAGCACCCCCAGACUUUCUGAUCGAGGAGUGAUGCUAACUUCAUGGUGAGAAUGUGAAGACCUUUUGAAACGCCAAGCACCUGACCCAAGCCCGGUCACAGAAUACGCUCUUCAAAUUGGGGUCUGCAGACCAGCAGCACCAGCGUCCCCUGGGAGCUUGGAAGACCUGCGGUGUCUGCCCCCACCCCAGACCUGUGGCAGCAGACUCUGCAGCGUCACAAGAGCCUCAGCUGAGGAAGCUAAGCCCUCACAACCAAGGUGUGUGACUGGUGGAGCCAGCGGAAACCCAGGUCACUUGAUUCCGAAGCGCGACCUUUACCCACAACCGUGCAGCCCAAGGUCCUGCAGUCCUGUCCUUUGGUACUUAAACAUCCCAUCAGGUGUACCAGUGCAGGUGGGU